rfam:Salmo salar isolate Sally breed double haploid chromosome ssa27, whole genome shotgun sequence.
AAUGCACCAAUUUGUAAGUCGCUCUGGAUAAGAGCGUCUGCUAACUGACUUCAA